rnacentral:rRNA from 1 species
UACGGAGGGUGCAAGCGUUAAUCGGAAUUACUGGGCGUAAAGCGCACGCAGGUGGCUGAGUCAGUCGAUUGUGAAAGCCCUGGGCUUAACCUGGGAAUUGCAGUCGAUACUACUCAGCUAGAGUACGGCAGAGGGGGAUGGAAUUCCGCGUGUAGGCAGUGAAAUGCGUAGAUAUGCGGAGGAACACCGAUGGCGAAGGCAAUCCCCUGGGCCUGUACUGACGCUCAUGCACGAAAGCGUGGGGAGCAAACAGG